ACUCCUGCGGGAGGCAGCAGUGGGGAAUAUUGCACAAUGGGCGCAAGCCUGAUGCAGCCAUGCCGCGUGUAUGAAGAAGGCCUUCGGGUUGUAAAGUACUUUCAGCGGGGAGGAAGGCAAUACGGUUAAUAACCGUGUUGAUUGACGUUACCCGCAGAAGAAGCACCGGCUAACUCCGUGCCAGCAGCCGCGGUAAUACGGAGGGUGCAAGCGUUAAUCGGAAUUACUGGGCGUAAAGCGCACGCAGGCGGUCUGUCAAGUCGGAUGUGAAAUCCCCGGGCUCAACCUGGGAACUGCAUUCGAAACUGGCAGGCUUGAGUCUUGUAGAGGGGGGUAGAAUUCCAGGUGUAGCGGUGAAAUGCGUAGAGAUCUGGAGGAAUACCGGUGGCGAAGGCGGCCCCCUGGACAAAGACUGACGCUCAGGUGCGAAAGCGUGGGGAGCAAACAGGAUUAGAAACCCUUGUAGUCCCAU
rnacentral:rRNA from 1 species